UACGGGGGGGGGCAAGCGUUGUUCGGAAUUACUGGGCGUAAAGGGCGCGUAGGCGGUCAGACCAAGUCGAGUGCGAAAUUCCAGGGCUUAACUCUGGCGCGCUCGCUCGAUACUGGUCGGCUAGAGUGUGGCAGAGGGGGGUGGAAUUCCGCGUGUAGCAGUGAAAUGCGUAGAGAUGCGGAGGAACACCGAUGGCGAAGGCAGCCCCCUGGGCUGACACCUGACGCUCAGGCACGAAAGCGUGGGGAGCAAACAGG
rnacentral:rRNA from 1 species